GACGAACGCGGCGGCGUGCUAAUACAUGCAAGUAGAACGCUGAAGAGAGGAGCUUGCUCUUCUUGGCAGAGUUGCGAACGGGUGAGUAACGCGUAGGUAACCUGCCUUGUAGCGGGGGAUAACUAUUGGAAACGAUAGCUAAUACCGCAUAACAAUGGGUGACCCAUGUCAUUCAUUUAAAAGGGGCAACUGCUCCACUACAAGAUGGACCUGCGUUGUAUUAGCUAGUAGGUGAGGUAACGGCUCACCUAGGCGACGAUACAUAGCCGACCUGAGAGGGUGAUCGGCCACACUGGGACUGAGACACGGCCCAGACUCCUACGGGAGGCAGCAGUAGGGAAUCUUCGGCAAUGGGGGCAACCCUGACCGAGCAACGCCGCGUGAGUGAAGAAGGUUUUCGGAUCGUAAAGCUCUGUUGUAAGUCAAGAACGAGUGUGAGAGUGGAAAGUUCACACUGUGACGGUAGCUUACCAGAAAGGGACGGCUAACUACGUGCCAGCAGCCGCGGUAAUACGUAGGUCCCGAGCGUUGUCCGGAUUUAUUGGGCGUAAAGCGAGCGCAGGCGGUUUGAUAAGUCUGAAGUUAAAGGCUGUGGCUCAACCAUAGUUCGCUUUGGAAACUGCCAAACUUGAGUGCAGAAGGGGAGAGUGGAAUUCCAUGUGUAGCGGUGAAAUGCGUAGAUAUAUGGAGGAACACCGGUGGCGAAAGCGGCUCUCUGGUCUGUAACUGACGCUGAGGCUCGAAAGCGUGGGGAGCGAACAGG
rnacentral:rRNA from 1 species